UACGUGAAACCGUUCAGGGGUAAACCUGUGAAAUCCAAAAGGUCGAAAGAGGAGAUUCAUUCGUGUAUCGAUCGCCGAAGUCGUACGGGGUAAUUGUGCGACAAACAUCGAUUUAUCGUAGUUUGCGCCACCUGUACGAAUUUAUCGGUAUCGAACGCGUGCACUUCUCCUCUAGUAGAACGUCGCGAUCCGUUGAGUGUCGGUCUACGGACCGAAGCGUAGCCCGAAAACGACGGUUUACCGUUGUUUUCGGACGCUCGUUAUCCGACCGACUCGCUCGACGGUAUGCCAAAGAUACUAGGUCGCAAAUUUAAUUUGCGUUCGAUUUUCGACAAGCUCGUAUAACGUAUCGAUGAUCGGACUUAUGCGCCGGUCGCGACGUUGUGCGGCUGUUAGUCGUAAUAUUCUCGAACAGACCUAGUCGAAAUAUCGAUCGGCGACGCUAUAGCUUUGGAUAAUUACAGGACCCGUCUUGAAACACGGACCAAGGAGUCUAGCAUGUGCGCGAGUCAUUGGGAUUUAUUACUAAACCUAAAGGCGAAAUGAAAGUAAAAAUUCGUUUUAAGCGAAUUUAGGGAAGAUAAAUGGAAACGUUUUGCGACGUUCCGUUUCGCAUUCCCGGGGCG
rnacentral:rRNA from 1 species